CUAGACUCAAAUUCAACACAGUGAUCUCCUUUGUUCCACAGAUUUUACCAGUAAAGUUAGCGAUAGCAGAGGAAUAACAUCCCUCUUCUCUGCAGAGAGAAUCCAUGGCUGGAAGGUUUAUCAAUAUACAGUCUGCACGGGUUUAAUACAUGACAAGGAGACAAGCAAUCUGUGGAGAAUGGCAGUGGAUGUGAUGCAGAUCAGCAAGAAAGAGAAAUUAAGGAUGAAAAGACAGCAGUUUCUGAAGAAUCAGAUUGUGCACUUCAAAAUAAUAUCAUAAAGACUCAUCAUUUUAAUCAGUUAUUGGUUAUACCUUGAGGACUUUCCACAGACUUCCACUUGAUACUGCUUUUAAAAUGACAUCUGCUCUAAGAGAAGGGAGAUCAAGAAGCCAGAAAUUAUUACCCUUCACAGGCAGAGUCACCCAGGAAUCCGAUCUGUAUGAUUGCAGAUACUUGCAAACACUGAUCCACCAGGACACAGCGCUGAGCUGCAAUUCACAUAGUUUUAGCACCACCACCACAACCCAGCAGUAAGAAAAUCUGUCCCAUUAGAACAGUGUACAAUCUGACAAUCUGCUACGCUGCUUUACAAAAUCAUCACAGGAGGAAAUAUCUUUACGUUUGCCUUAAUCUACCAUCUGUUCACACAAAAAGUCAAAAUGUAUGAAUUUACAUACGUUUUGCUGCCCAAUUGCAGCCAUUAACAUUAUUCCUUUCCCCCACCCUUCACCUUAAGAGAGACUAUUCUCUGUCACUUAAGUAAUGGCAUAUACAUUUUCUGUGGAAAAAAAAAAUAAAUAAACCAAAGCAACUGCGUAGGUAUCA
rnacentral:lncRNA from 1 species